GAGAACCUGAAUUUGUUUAAGUGCUUUUUAAAUGUCCUUAAAUAAUAACAAUAACUGCUAAUUUUGUGAUUUGUUUUCUGUAUGUUAAUAGUUAUGGGACAAUUAUGUGAAGCCACAAGUGGGAGUUCUACUGCCCAACAUGUGAAGAACCCACAAUCUGUUCAAGGGCAGGAAUACUUUUGAGUCCUCNCUAUCCAGCUCUGGUGUUGCCCUGGGUCACAGGAGACAAGAUUUUCAAGGAAAAUGAAGACAGAAAGUGUAAAGGCAAAAGGCCUCUGGCUUUUUUGAAAUGGAAGAGCUGCACUCUUCGAUUCAAUAGGCCAUCCUUAAUGAAAGAACUGUGUCUUACCAUGUCAGCAGGGUAUAACAAAAAACAAAAAACAUAUUGCUGUUUUAAUUCUAUGGACCAUUAGAUCCAUCUUUCUAGGGCACAAGAAUGCUUUGUUUGUCUUCUUUGAGAAAAUAAAAAUGCUAUUUCAAGAAUAAAACA
rnacentral:lncRNA from 1 species